GAUGAAGAACGUAGCGAAAUGCGAUAAGUAAUGUGAAUUGCAGAAUUCAGUGAAUCAUCGAAUCUUUGAACGUACAUUGCGCCCGCCAGUAUUCUGGCGGGCAUGCCUGUUCGAGCGUCAUUACAACCCUCAGGCCCCCGGGCCUGGCGUUGGGGAUCGGCGGAAGCCCCCUGCGGGCACAACGCCGUCCCCCAAAUACAGUGGCGGUCCCGCCGCAGCUUCCAUUGCGUAGUAGCUAACACCUCGCAACUGGAGAGCGGCGCGGCCACGCCGUAAAACACCCAACUUCUGAAUGUUGACCUCGAAUCAGGUAGGAAUACCCGCUGAACUUAAGCAUAUCAAUAAGCGGAGGA
rnacentral:misc_RNA from 1 species